rnacentral:misc_RNA from 1 species
UGGGUUUGACAUACACCAUGUCGCCGCAGAGAUGUGGUUUCUUUUGGUGGUGUACAGGUGGUGCAUGGCUGUCGUCAGCUCGUGUCGUGAGAUGUUGGGUUAAGUCCCGCAACGAGCGCAACCCUCGUUCCAUGUUGCCAGCAUUUAGUUGGGGACUCAUGGGAGACUGCCGGGGUCAACUCGGAGGAAGGUGGGGAUGACGUGUAACCGAAUCU